GCGGCCUUCCGGCCCCCCCCCCCAACAAUCCGCUCUCAGGACCCCCCCCCAAAAUCCCCCCCCAUCCCGGCUGCGCGUCAUCACCGCGGAGAUCCGGGUUCGAAUCCCGGCGCUGCCCGACUGGGAACUGCGCUACUGGGGGGGGGUUUGGGGGGGUGGUCCUUAUUAGCGCCCUCCUCCCGUCCUAUCGCCGUUAUUUUUAGGGUUAUUGUUGCUAUUAAUUGCGCUGAUCCUAUUAUUCCUGCUAUUGGUAUCCCUAUUAUUGCUAUUAGUAUCCCUAUUAUUGCUAUUAUUAUCCCUAUUAUUGCUAUUUUUCCCAUCAUUCCUCUCAUUCCUAUUAUUAUUCCUAUCAUUAUCGUUGCCAUCAUUCCCAUUAUUAUUAUUCCUACCAUUAUUAUUCCCAUCGUUCCUAUUAUUAUCAUUCCUACCACUAUUAUUGCUAUUAUCGCCAUUAUUCCUAUUAUUAUUAUUGCUAUUAUUCCUAUUAUUGCUAUUAUUCCUAUUCCUAUCAUUCCUGUUAUUAUUAUUCCUAUUAUUCCUAUUAUUCUUAUUAUUAUUACUCCUAUUAUUCCUAUCAUUUCUAUUAUUUCUAUUCCUAUUAUUGCUAUUAUUCCUAUUAUUAUUGCUAUUAUUCCUGUUAUUCCUAAUCCUAUUAUUCCUAGUAUUAGUACUUCUAUUAUUCCUAUCAUUCCUAUUAUUAUUAUUCCUAUUAUUGCUAUUAUUCCUAUUCCUAUCAUUCCUGUUAUUAUUAUUCCUAUCAUUCCUAUUAUUCUUAUUAUUCCUAUUAUUCCUGUUACUCCUAAUCCUAUUAUUCCUAUUAUUAUUACUCCUAUUAUUCCUAUCAUUCCUCUUAUUAUUAUUCCUAUUUAAUUCCUAUUAUUGCUAUUAUUCCUGUUAUUCCUACUCCUAUUAUUCCUAUUAUUAGUACUUCUAUUAUUCCUAUCAUUCCUGUUAUUAUUAUUCCUAUUAGUUCCUAUUAUUCCUAUUAUUAUUACUCCUAUCAUUCCUAUCAUUUCUGUUAUUCCUAUUCCUAUCAUUCCUAUUAUUAUUAUUCCUAUUAAUUCCUAUCAUUCCUAUCAUUCCUAUUAUUGCUAUAAUUCCUGUUACUCCUAAUCCUAUUAUUCCUAUCAUUAUUACUCCUAUUAUUCCUAUCAUUCCUAUUAUUAUUACUCCUAUUAUUCCUAUCAUUCCUUUUAUUCCUAUUCCUAUCAUUCCUAUUAUUAUUCCUAUUAUUCUUAUUAUUCCUAUUAUUCCUGUUACUCCUAAUCCUAUUAUUCCUAUCAUUAUUACUCCUAUUAUUCCUAUCAUUCCUAUUAUUAUUAUUCCUAUCAAUUCCUAUCAAUUAAUUCCUAUCAUUCCUAUUAUUAUUACUCCUAUUAUUCCUAUCAUUUCUGUUAUUCCUAUUCCUAUCAUUCCUCUUAUUAUUAUUCCUAUUAAUUCCUAUUAUUGCUAUUAUUCCUGUUAUUCCUAAUCCUAUUAUUCCUAUUAUUAGUACUUCUGUUCCUAUUAUUAUUCCUAUUAUUCUUAUUAUUCCUAUUAUUCCUGUUACUCCUAAUCCUAUUAUUCCUAUCAUUAUUACUCCUAUUAUUCCUAUCAUCCCUAUUAUUAUUAUUCCUAUCAAUUCCUAUCAAUUCCUAUCAAUUAAUUCCUAUCAUUCCUAUUAUUAUUACUCCUAUUAUUCCUAUCAUUCCUGUUAUUCCUAUUCCUAUCAUUCCUAUUAUUAUUAUUGCUAUGAUUCCUAUUAUCAUUCCUAUUAUUAUUCCUAUUAUUCCUACCGUUCCUAUUCCUGCUAUUCUUCCCAUUAAUGCUAUCAUCAUCACUCUUCCUAUCACCACCCAGCGUGACACACACGCUUGCACACGUGACACGUGCAAGCAGCACGUGCGUGCACACGUCCUUGCACACACGUCACACACACACACACACGCUGUGUGCACGCCCCUCGUGCAAUGCAGACCCCCCCCCAUGGUGCACCCCCACUGCAGACCCUCCCCAUUCAGUUGUGACCCCCCAAAAUGAGGUGUAGACCCCCCCCCCAACCCCAUAUGCCCCCAAUAUUCAUUGGAGCUCAACCCCAAAUCCCCCCCCCAGACCUCCAGGGAAUGGGGCAGGAAACCCACCCAGCUAUGGGGCAGCACCCUGUGUCACCUGGGGGCUCCUCCCAACCCCCCCCCACCCCCCAAAAUCCAGGGGCAAAAUAGGGCUGCAGAAUCCAACCCCCCUCCCCCAAAACCCACCCAGUGCAUCUAUGGGGGGGGGGGUCCACUCCUGACCACUGCACUUUGAUGGGGCUGUAGGACCCCCCCUCAACUCCAUCCACCACACGGCAGCCCUGAGCAACACGCGUGUGUGCACGCAGGUGUUGCACGCAGAGCACUUGUGUGUGCAAAAGCUCACGGCAGGUGUGUUCAGAAGCUCCCCGUGCCCCGCUGGGUGCACACGCUUGUGUGUGUUCACGCGCCCGUGAGCAGAAACUACCUGCGUGCAAACGCAGGCACUCGAGUGCACUCUGCAAAGCACGCGUGCGUGCAAGGCGAUGAUGUGAGUGCGAGAAGCACAGCUCUCACAGCACGGGUGCUUCCAGAUGUCUGGAAAGUGAAAAGAGAACCAAAAGUGAUGCAUUCAGGCAGGGGAGGGGUGCACCAUUCCCCCCCCCCUCACACACGCACAGGGUGUCCAUAAUGGGGCUGUUUUUUAGGGGCAUAAUCCAUUGGGAUGGAGCCCUCCAAGGGACGCCGCAGCCGAGAUCCCUUUGAUUUCAAGAGAAAGCCCAAAGAUUUAAUGAAGAGCAUCCUCAUCCCUGUGCUGGUGUGGGAUGCGUGCACAGCUCGGUGUGCCAGGUGAGCAGGUUGGGUUAAUCAAGAUAAAUAUGGGAUGCACUGCAGGCCCUGCUAACGAGCUGAGGGGCGGCCGGGGAUGUGCAAGGUGGGAUCCUGCAGCUCCACAUCACCAUGGAGACGAGGUUGGAGCAGCAGCAUCACCCACCCCAAACCCCUCACAUCUUCCAAAAUAGGAGGGGGAUGCACCCGGUUAGGUGAACCCCCCACACCCCCAAAAAAAUCCUUCUGCUGGAAAGCAAGGUGGAAAUAAAAGCAAAAUUCCAGCUUGGG
ensembl:lncRNA